rnacentral:rRNA from 1 species
AUGCAAUGCGUCUCAACUGUCGAAUACAGAGUAAGGAUUAACGCGGAGGAUAGUGAGAGUUUUAAGCCUACAAGGGGUUUGAGGCAGGGUGACCCAUUGUCACCAUACCUUUUCUUGUUGUGCACAGAGGGAUUGAAUGCUCUACUUACACGGGCGGAGGAAAUUGGAAAUAUUUCAGGAGUAAAAGUUUGUAGAGAUGCCCCGCCCAUCACAAACCCUCUCUUUGCGGAUGAUUCUUUGAUUCUUAUGAAAGCCAACCAACAAAAUGCGGAAGCUCUGAAAACAGUGUUAGAUUUAUACUGUCAGGCAUCGGGACAAUUGGUAAGCAUUGAAAAAUCCAGCAUUUUCUUUAGCCCAAACAUGAAGGUGGAGAUUAGGGAACAAUUGUGUACAACGCUGAAUAUAAUGACAGAGGCCCUCAGUGAUAAAUAUUUGGGCUUGCUAGCAAAUGUGGGUGUAGAUAAAACAGACUGUUUCCAAUUUCUGAUUGAACGGAUUGUCAAGAAAAUUAGUGGCUGGAAGGAAAAAUUAUUGUCUGCCGGGGAAAGGAGAUCCUGCUCAAGGCUGUGA